AUUUAUGUAGCCUAAUGGUCAGGGCUUGGGACUUAGGCUCCUAAGGUCUCAGGUUCGAAACUUCCCAAUCACAAGUG